AUAAAUAAUAUAUACAUAUAGAAUCCGGCUGGUAUACUAUCAGUAGCACGGAGGCCUCCGUGCUAUCAAGUUGUUUUCAAUGAUACAGCGUCCAAAUCGACGAUUGGCUCCGUUAGACGUGAUCUAUACUAUUGAAAGUUUUUGAAAACUAAAUUUAUAAUUUUUUAACAUCAUUUGGCUAUUGAUUAAAAAGUCUCAAAAUUGACAAUUUUAAUAGUAGAUUUGAUGCGUUUGUGAUUUAACGGUGUAAAACAAUCCAAAUUUAAUGAAAUUUUUAUAGAAUUUUUUUUUCAUUAUUUAGAGUAAGAUCAGUAUCUCUGAUCUGAAAUUCAAGUCUUUUAUCAUCAUUUUUUAUGAGAUUUUUAUUUUCAGCCAUUUAUUUUUAGACUACUCGUUUGAUAGGUAAAUGAUGCUGAAAAAUUAUGAAAUUUAGUUUCCAAAUACUUUCAAUAAUAUAGAUCAAGUCUAACAGAACCGAUCGUCGAUUUAGAAGCCGCAUCAUUGAAAACAACUUGGUAGCACGGAGGUCUCCGUGCUACCGAUAGUAUACUAGCCUAACUCAUAUAUAUAUAGUGUUGAGCUACUGUGCUAUCAGAAGUAUAAAAAAUUUGAUGCUUUUGAUUUUUUGACUCUUGAAUCAAGAAUUGUACGAUUGGGAUGAUUAUGGUCUUCUCUAGAGUUGAGUAGUUCCCAUAGGAUAAUAGUAUUAAUCCAAAGUUUAGAAAUGAUUAAAGGGACUGAUCUAAGGGCCAAUAUAUAUAUAUAUAUAUAUAUAUGAGUGAGGCUAUUAUGCUAUCGGAAGUAUGGAGUCUUCCGUGCUUCCAGCUCGUUUUCGAUGUUGCGAUUUUCGAAUCGUCGAUCGGCUCCGUUAAACUUGAUCUAGAGUAUUUGGAGUACCUAGAAAAUAAAUUUUAUUAUUUUUCGAUAUCAUUUGCCUAGUGAUCAAAUGGGCUCAAAAUUAACAAAUUUUAAUGACCGUAGUGAGCCGUUUGCAAGUUUAACGGUGUAGAAAUAUCCAAAUCACGUGAAAUUUUGAUAGAAAAUUUUUUAUAUUAUAUAAAACAAGAUCAAUAUCUUUGAUUUAAAAUUUUAAUGUCAUAUUAUUACAUUUUGUAAGAUUUUUAUUUUCAGCUGUCGAUUUUGAGCCCCUUCAUUUACUAGGCAAAUAAUAUCGUAAAAUCAUAAAAUUUAUUUUCUAGGUACUCCAAAUACUCUAGAUCAAGUUUAACGGAGCCGAUCGACGAUUCGAAAGUCGCAACAUCGAAAACGAGCUGGAAACACGGAAGGCUCCGUGCUUCCGAUAGCAUAGUAGUUUCACUCUAUAUAUAUAUAUAUAUAUAUAUAGUUGAGCUAGAAUACUAUCGAUAACAAACCGGCUCCGUUGCCACCCAUUUGUUUUCGAUGAUGGAGCCUCCAAAUCGAUGAUCAGCACCGUUGAACAUGAUCUAUACUACUUGAAGUGUUUAAAAAUCAAAUUUCAUAUAUUUUCGAUAUUGUUCUCCUAUCCAUCGAGUGGACACAAAAAUGAACGACUGAAAAUGAAUAUUCUUUAAAAAAUGAUGAUAGGAGUCUUGUAAUCAAGAUUAAGAGUAUAGAGCUUCUUUUAAAUAGUUUAAAAAAUUUUCUAACGAAAAUUCAAUUGAUUUGGAUAUCUUUACGUCGUUAAACGAGAAAACGCAUAUCGACCAUUGUAAAUUAUAAAUUUUGAACCCUUUGAAUAUAGGCCAAAUAUGUCGUAAAGAUUUGAAAUUUUAUUCUAACACUUUAAGUGGUUAGGAUACAUGUCCAACAGGUGGUCUCAUCGUCGAAUUGGAGCCUCUAUCAUCGAAACAAAUAGGUGGCUACGGGCGUCCGUUGGCCUAUCGAUACGUAUCUCUAGCUAACUAUAUAUAUUAUAUAUCUAUAUAUACUAUAUAUAUAUAUAUGAACUAGGGCUACUUAGCUAUUAAUAAUAACAAGUCAUUGGUGUAUCAAGUUUUGACAUUGAUAUACAGAGAUUGUAUGGUUAAGAUAUUGGGCCCUCUAGGGUUUCGUGGUGCGUUCUGUGGUGAAUAAUAUGAUCUAUACGGAGUGAAAUUAUCAAAAUGGCUAGAUCUAACGCUGGAAAACUGGUUAGGCACAAGGUUUCAUGUGAUUAAUAGCAUAGUUAGCUCGGGACCUCAUAUAAUAUUAUAUACUUAUAGUAUAUAUUAUAGUGAUACUAAUAUGAAUGAGUCGCUAUGCUUUAAAAGUACAAAUCAUUGGAUGUUGUAAGUUCGAUCUCUUGGAUUAAAGGAUAUACGGUUAGAUAAGUGGCCCCCUUGUGGUUAAGUGGGUGUGGUUGAAUAGUAUAACCUAACGGAGAAAAUGAUCAUAAGUCGUAAUAUUAAACGGGUAAAAAAAUUCAUCAAGCACCAAGUGCUUGGUGCUUUCUUACAAGACACCAUAUGCGGACUUAUAAUAAUAGAUAUACUAAUAUAUAAAUAUAUAUAUAGACUAGAAUACAUUCAAAAGCACCAAUGAGGUGGUGCUUUUGAGUUUUUAAACAUAGAUAGAGGAAUGUAAGGUGUUGAUGAUGGUGGGUAGGUGGUGGUAGGUGGAAUAGUAUUUGCUCAAGGCUAUUAGUAUGAAGGAAUAGAUCCAAGGCUAGAAACCUAAAAGCAUUAAUGGAGUGAUACUUUUUAAAGUAUUCUAGCUCAAUUAUAUUAUAAUAUAUAUAUAUAUAUAUAGAACUUGUGCUGAAUACUAUAUUUAUAGCACCAAGUUAUUGUACUAUUAGUUUUUAGCCCUUAGAUUAAAAAUGUGCGGUUAGGAUGAUGUGGGCCUCUAGAGUUGAGGGGGUAGUUGGUUGAAUAGUAUAAUUUAACGGAUAAAAAUAAUCAAAAAGGUUAAUCUAACGUAGAAAACUUGAUAGCACCAAGUGUUUGGUGCUAUUAUAGCAUAGCAGUGGGACUAUAUAUAUAUAUAUAUAUUAUAUAUAUAUAUAUAUAUAUAUAUAUAUAAAAUCCAACUAUUAUUCUUUUAAAAGGACGGAUGACUUCGUUCUUCGAAGUCGUUUUAGAUGAUAGAGAUUUCGAAUCAAUGAUCGGAACUGUUAAAGUUGAUCUAAAGUAUUUAAAGUGUUUAUAAACUAAAUUUCAUGAAUUUUAAAAAUUAUUUACGUAGUGAUCAAAGGAUCAUAAAAUCGAUAGUUUUGACGGUCUAUAUGAGUCAUUUACUUGUUGAAUGGUGUGGAACAAUCCAAAUAUAUGGUUUGAAUUUUUGAUAAAUUUUUUUUUAUACUAUUUAGAUAGUGAAAACUCGAUCAUGAAUUGAAAAAAUAUAACAUCUAUUUUUUUCAAGAUUAUUUAUUUUUUACCGUUUAUUUUUCAACACUUCAAUGAAGUUGAUAACAAAUUUUAAAAUUUAUGAAAUUUAGUUUCUAAACGUUAUCAAUACUUUAAAUCAAAUGUAACGAUUCCGAUCAUCGAUUCUAAAUUUCUAUCGUCUAAAACGAUUUAGGAAGACGAAAACCUCCAUCCUCCUAAAAGGAUAGCAAUUGGACUAUAUAUAUAUGUAUAUAUAGUAAAUUGUGAACACUAAAUUAUUAUUACAUAAAAUAUACGAAUGAUCGGCCAAUAAACUUAUGUGCAUAACGAAAUGAAAAACAAUACAUAGAAUUACCAAAGGCGGUAAGAGGUGAGAAUUGGUGAAGGUGGGUGUCGAUUUCACGGAAUGGUGAGAGCUGAGAACCGGCUCUGAUCUCGUAUUACUCGAAAGAUCAAUCUGACGGAAAAUAAUAUAGAAUAUAAUUUUAAAAAAAUAAGCACCAUUGUAAGCACAAUGUUGCUGAGAUUUGCAGUAGUUACUCUCUAUCAACUUAGAAUUGAUAAGAAUGAAAUUUCAUUAAAAAAAAAAAAAGAAUGAAAUUUCAAUAUUAUAAGGCAAAUCACACCACCAUUAAUCAGCUUGAUUUAGCAAAUCUAGGUGGCUAUAUAUGAAAGUUCAUUAAGGCACGAAAAUGGCUACCUUAAUUUUGAAAACCAUGCAAUGCUUUUGAUAACAACAUGUUUAGUGAUAAUAUCGAGUUGUCAUGGAAUCCAAACAACAGUGAGGCAUUGUGUGUAGAAGACAAAAGAUCUUAAAUCUUUGUUUUCUCGGCGCAAAAACUGCGACCUCACGCGUAGCACGGUCUGGCCCGUCGGCGGCCGGAGUGAUGUCCCUCAAUCGAAGUUUGGAUCUGACUUAAUCUCAGGUGCGGACCAGAGAGGAAACGAUCCAGCUCGAGGUCUUCACGCUCGAUCUCACCGAAGGGCUUGUUGCUUUGGCUUUCGAGCUUUGACGGCUGUCCCGGCCGAAGUGUCGAUAUAGAACCACUGUAGCAUAGAGGUUCUUGAGUCCACAAGACUGGACGGAUAAAGGUUUGCGGCGUGCAGGUGCGUUCACCGGCGAAGAUGAGGUGAUUUGACAUUGGUGCAGGAGCUAAAGGCAGAAGAUGUUACAAGUUACGUUACAACUACUCCUAGAUUACGCCGUAGCUACUGCUUCUACAAUAAGGGGCUGUUUGGUUGGAUAUAGUUGCAAAAACAGUGUAGUUAAAAAUACAUGCAGUUACAAAUGCUGCAGUUGUAACUACGCCUAGUCUGUUUGGUUUUACACAGUUGCAACUGCUGCAGUUAUAUUUCUUCUGUUUGGUAAUAUGAAGUUGAUAGUUGUAUUUGUAAAUUUUGUCACCUUUUCAGAUAGAGUGGUGAAAUUACCUUCACUAAACAUAAAAUAAUUAUAUAAAUUUAUUAAUCAUUUAAAUUUACUAUUUAUAAAUAAAUAAGUAGAUAUAUAUAAUAUUCUUCAACUUAUUAAUCGACACAUUUAAAACUUUUAAUUUAUUUAAUUUUAAUAUGUAAAUCAAACUUUAAAAUUUAAACGAUUCUCUCAUUUUUUUUAUCAAAUUUAAUAAUUAUAAUUAAUUAAAACUUAUUAAAUUAACAUACACGAUCACAUUCUAUAAAAAUUUUUUUAAAAAACUAUAUUUAUAUUUUAAAUAAAAUAAAUUUAAAAAAUUUAAUUUUUUGCACAAAGCUUGUAUUGCCUAAAAAAUUUUAUUUUAUUAGUAUGAGUUUAUUUACAAGUAUUUUUAUUUACCUAUAUAUAUAUAUAUUAUUUAUUUAUUUAGAUAUUUAUUUAUUUAUUUAUUUAUUAUUGUUAAUUUGUGGGUGAUCCUAUCCCUCACCAACUGCUGCAAUUGAAAUUACGGCCAAUUUGGAUGUAGUUCCAACUGCAGCAUUUGGAUCUUCUUGUGUAGUUGGAACUGCAGCAGUUGAGGCUGCACGUAUUUGCAACUGCACUGCAGUUGUAAAUGCGUGCAACCAAACAGCCCCUAAGAGGGACUGACUGUGCCUCCGAUAUAGACUGAUCGUCUUGGUUGAUUUUCGCAUCCCUUUUGGUGCGGUCUCGUUCUGUCUCUCUUACAGUCAUAUAUGUAGUCAUAAUUGGCAGAAUAAUUUCAUGUUUCGCCACUUUUCUUUUCUCAACUAUUCCUAACUCUUCGGCCUCGAUCAAUUCGAAUUUUCGACUACUUAUUCAUUAGAACGCACCCGCUUUUUCAUUGUCGAUAUCGGAAGUUCAAAUUGCCUGCUUUCGGCAUCUCUCCUUGUCGAAAUCUUAUUUUAUGCUUUCUCGACCCCUUCAGUGCUUACUUCAGUUAAAACGAAAAAUGUUACUUGGUUGAGAAAAUUUUCUUAAAUUUGAACCGAGAUACCCUCUUGUACUCAGAAUUGUCUAAUGUUGUUAGACCAAAAUGAGUUAGGACGAAUAUAUAUACAAAAAUGUGUCCCUUUUUCUCGUGGGGUUGUUGAAAUCUUAUCUUUUUUUGAAUCAAUUAAAUCUUUGCGAUGGAUGAUCGCUUUCAAUAAUAAACAAAAUAUGUUUCAACUUCUGCACUCAUCAGAUCCUUCUCCUGCAAAUCCAAACAAAGCCUAAAUUGCGAAGAGCACAACUUUAUUUCUUUUGUUCUAUUCACUACAACAGAAUUAGGUUAUAGGGACACAUGUUUGGGACACUUUUGAGUAAGUGUCCCAUUUAUGCUAAAACUUAAAAAAAUAUUUACUAAUGCCUAAAUAUAAAGCCCAAUCCAAUCAAAAAUAAAAGAUUACUCUACUCAACCCAUCACAUCCAGUCCAUUUGGUCUGAUUACAAACAGAAAAGAAAAAAAAAAGAAAAAUCAAUUACCAUUUUUUUCUUCUCUCUUCACUCAAUCCACUGAAAUUCUAGACGAAGAGCCUUUCCUGUCGUCCUCCUCCGCCACCGCAGCCAACGAGAUAGAGUUUCGGCGGUUUUUAAAUGCUUAAAUAAGUGUUGGUAAAUUAGCAGCACUCUUUUAGGUUAUAGCGACACUCUUUAACUGUCACUAUAUACCUAGUGACCCCACAUAUAGCAAUACUUUUUAAAAGUGUCGGUAAUUUUAGCUAGCAGCACUUUUUUGACAUGUACCUAUAUUUAAAAGUGUCGCUAUAGACCGUUUUUUUUGUAGUGAUUGUUCUAACGUGAUGAGAUUUAUUUGAUAGACCCAUGGCUAUAGGCCCAAUAUUCCGUGUCCAUCAGUUGCCCACUUAAGCCGACAAUAAAUCUGUCCACUAUUUGGAUGUAUAAAUAUUUUAUUUAAUAUAUCUAUUUUAUUUAGCAUAUCUAUGUGCAUUUUUUGCAUCAUUAAUGAGAGCCCAAACGAAAAAAUUAGAAAAGAUUCAAAGUCAAAUAAAGUGGCUUAAGAUGAAUUAAAUAUAAAAUUGUCACGAAUCUUUAUAUAUAUAGUAGUUCCUCGCAUUGAUAUCCGCCUUUUAUAUAUAUAUAUAUAUAUAUAUAUUCCGUUUUAGGUAGGAAAAGAUUUACAUCCCAUUUGUAAUUAUAAAAUAAACUACAUUAUCUAUGGUGUUGAAAGCGUUAUUUUCUCUAAUAUUAAUUGUUGAAAUGAAUACAAUGAAAAAAAACAAAAUAUAAAAAUAUUUUGUGUUUGAUAAUGAGUCGAUUAGGAAAUAAGAUAAUAAUAACAAUAAAUUAUUAUUCUUUAGACUUUUACGAUCACACUAAGAAAUAAAAGAAUAGUUUUUAAUAUUUUUCUCUCCUAUUAACUCAGUUUUGCCUUAAUGCAUUAAUUAGUUGGCCCUAAAUGGACAGCUAGAAGGCUUUAAUUAAGCCUACCACUCUUUACCUGACCUGAUUUUAAUUAUUAUCACACAAUGCAAAAUCAUAUUGUGAGUAUAUUUUAUUAUUAAAAUAUAUGUUUUUUAAUUCGUUAUAUCUAAUAACAUUUGAUUGGACAAGACGAUUCAUGUAACUGUUGCAUAUCAUAACUAUUUGACCAAGCUAAUUUAUUGUAAACCACGAACGAACCCGUUUCCGAUCUCACGGUACAAAAUGAGGGAUAGUAGAAUAUAAAGAAUAUAUUUAGAACUGUUUGGUUGCGUAAAAUUAGAAUUACCUUGUAAUUGUAACCUUAUAAAAUUUCAAAAUAUGUCAAAACUAGUAUUUUUUUUAUUAUAAUGCCUAGAGAGAGUUAUAGAAACUAAAAAGUAAAAAAAAAAAAGAAAAAGUAAGAUUAAAAUAAUAAACAAAAACUUUUUAAAUAAAAGAUGUGUUUUUUUUUUUAAUUUUAAUCGUCCAACUCAGCCUAUAGGAAUGGGCCUCUGUUUUGUUUACUCUUCUUCACGUCCAUCGAAGCUUCUAAAUUACGCCGCAACCUUUUUAACGCGCUUCUACACGUGAAUCGACCGAAGCUCUCGACAUUUGCUACAAUUGGACUACGUGGCUUGAUGCCAUUGGUUACUUUGGUAUUGUAACCAAUCAAAACUUUCCACGUAAACAGAUCUGUAGUUAUCCUAUCCUCAGGGGUUGUAGCGGAUCCUCAAUACGUACGGCGUUUCUCGCACUCUCGCUCUCUCUUUCUCUCUCUUCCUAGGGUUUAUGCCCCCUCUCUCUCUCUCUCUCUCUCUCUUUCUCUCUCUCUCUCUCCCCGAUCCCCGUAUCCAAAUCGCGAUCGCGAUCUCCGGAGCUUGCGUUAAUGGAGUCGAAGUCGACGGGGCGCUUCACGCUGGGGAGGCAAUCGUCGCUCGCUCCCGACCGCGGCGGCGGCGGGGAGCUCGAGCCCGUGCGCUCCGAGGGCUCCAAUGGCGGCGGCGCCCUCGCGGAGAUCGGCGCAGAGAUCCGCCUCAUGUACCUCGCGAACGAGGGCGACAUGGAAGGGAUCCGCGAGCUCCUCGACUCCGGCGUCGACGUCAACUUCAGGGACAUCGACGGGCGCACCGCGCUCCACGUCGCCGCUUGCCAGGGCUUCGCGGACGUGGUCGAGCUGCUGCUCGAGAGGGGGGCGCAGAUCGAUCCCGAAGAUCGGUGGGGAAGCACGGUGGGUUUCGAUGAUUACCUCUUGCUUAGAUUCUUAGGGUUUAUUAGUUGCGGCUAAAAUUCGGUCUUUCGCUUGCGAUUGCAUGGUUUCGAGUUGAUUGUAGGAGUGAAACGAAUGCCUUUUGGUAAUUGCUGAUUCUAAAUAUUAAAAUUAGUGGAAAGGAGGGUGUUUUGUUUAACAUUGAAUAUAAUUGAUGAAGAAUGUGUUUGAUGUUUGAUGUGUUUAUUAAAAAUUACUGCAUGAAAAUAGCCAAUUUAAUGUAAUCAAAGCAUGCAGGGCGAUAGAAGUAUAUCCAGUUCAUUGAAUUGGUGCAUUUUUUCUAGUUUAAUGUUAGAAUUCAUUUAUAAAGGUGCACGAAUACCUUCGCAAAUCCACAGAAAUUGUAUAAAAUUAACUGGCUUAGGGAAGUGCUGCAAGGCAUGGAAGGGAAGAUAACAAUAUGCCAGCUUUUGUGAAAAGAAAUUUUGAUAAGUAUAAGAUGGCACAACUAGAAGUUAAAAUUUUCACGUGCCAAUUUAUGUUACAGAGUUAAAAUUUUUGCUAGCAAGUUUAUGUUAUAGACUUUUGAAUCUCAACGCUUUGCACAAACUUGAGAAAAGAGAAGACACAAACUGAAGGGAUAUAAGAUUAGUGCAAAGAAUGUCAUGGAGGAUGCUUUGUCUUCUCGCAUUCUCAAAACCCAUCUUUCUGAAAUCUUCUUAUCAAAGGGAGUAGUGAAAUCUCUUGCUGCCACAAUCUCGAUGAGAUCUAUAAAUUAUUCAGCCAUAUGUAGUCUGCAAAGUGUAGCUUAAAAAGUGUAUUAUAUUGCACUGAAAGUGAAAUCAUGAAUUUGUGUUUUAUCCUCCUAUAAUCACAUGUAAAGGGAUCUUAUUGGUAGGCUUUAGACUUAUUUCUUGCUGUUGUCUAUAAAUAGCCAUUAGGAGAUGCAAUACAUUACAAGAACCAUGAUGUGAUCAAGCUUUUGGAAAAGCGUGGUGCUAAACUUAAGGUAUGUCAGGCAAGAUAUCUAAUCUAUUUGUCAUGAAAAUUUGGCCAUUUUUUCUUUCUUCAAGUGACUUGUCACAGUUUUGACUGUUCUCAAUUUGCUUUCUAAUGAAGAUAGCUCCAAUGCAUGUUGAUAAUGCCCGCGAAGUUCCAGAAUACGAGAUAGACCCAAAGGAACUUGAUUUUAGUAACAGCAUCCAUAUAACAAAGGUACUCACAUCCUUCCUACCAAAAAAUAUUUUCUUUAUCUGACAAGCAGUCCUGUUCGAGAUUCUCUUUCAUAGUCUCCUUUUUUUCUUCUGUUACUUGAUUAAGUGGUCAAUACAUUCUGCUAAUAGUAACCAGUAUAAGCCGACAAACUGUUUUUUUCAUGCUUUCAUUUUUUUAAAAAACUUCUAUCACUAUAACUCUUUACUUUUUUUUUGGUCAAAUCACGUAGCAUAGACCGAAAUAGUGUAUGUAUUAUCUCUAACUGCUUUUCACAUAGUCGGCAUAAGUUUCAAUCUCUAAUAGCAAGCAAAAUUAGACUCGGAUAUCUUUCUGCUAAUAUUAAGUUUAAAAUUAGACUCACAUAACCACGCUUAUUUUUCUGGUAACUUCUCUGUUUCUGUUUAUAUCUCUCAAUUUUUUUUAUUUUGAAAAAAGAUGUUUGUAACUCCCUAUCUAUUAUAUUGCCGAAACCCUGCUUUUACAUUCCACACUAAUUUAAUUUAGUGUGUAAAGUUGUUGUAUUUUCUUAUUGUGUGUUUGACACAACCUUCUUUCUUCAGGGUACAUUUCGUAUAGCAACAUGGCGUGGAAUUCAAGUUGCUGUGAAGCAACUUGAUGAAGAUCUAAUUACAGAUGAAGAUAAAGUGUGGGUUUGUCCCAUUGAUAUAGAGGAUUCCUCAUUUAGUUUCUAUAUAUGUCUGUAUGCUGCAAAUCUUCAUAACUUUUAUUCUUAGCCAUCUUUUAGCUUACAUUUUAAAACUUUUUCUGUACAUUACAGAAGGGCAUUUAGGGAUGAACUUGCCUUGCUUCAACUAAUACGGCAUCCAAAUGUUGUCCAAUUUCUGGGUGCUGUUACUCAAAGUAGUCCAAUGAUGAUUGUCACAGAGUAUUUGCCUAAGGUUGUUAUUCCUUUUCCAAAUUAACUGUUUUUAAUAUAAUAAUUCUGCCUUUGUAUUUUUUUUUACCCGUGAAUUUCAAAAUAUUUUAAGCUUGAUUUGUCAUCCUUGGUUUCUGCCUUCUUACGACACUUUUUGCUAGUUCUGAAUCCAUCCAGACAGAAUUUUGGAAAUUGUACACUUAACCAACUCGUUAGUCACCUUAUGGAGGAACUGCUGUUUGUCUUCUCUUAUAACUGUUACAUGUCUCCGCUGCUUCAGUAGUUUGUUGAUUGUAUAGACCGGGGUUUUUUUUUUCUAUACUUUUUCUUUCAGGUUUCGUUUUUGACAUCAUAUUCAUCAUCUUUGCAAACUUGGUUGAUUAACUUUCAAGGUGUCAAAAACUGGAAUAUAAACUUGUGCUUGUUUAACAGAAAGUUAUUCAACUAUGGUUGCUUUAUUUUUAGAUGCAUAAAAACAUGCUUUAUUGUAUUUUUUUAUGAUGACAUACAUAUUUUGCUUAUAUAAUUUGCAAUUUGCAUAUUCGCAUUUGUUUAUACAGCUCUGUAUCUGUUUUUAUGAAUAACUAUGUAAUUCCUUUUAUAAUUCAUUCUGCUAUGCAGGGCGAUCUUCGUGCAUUCUUGAGACAGAAGGGUGCAUUAAAGCCAACAUUGGCGGUUAAAUUUGCCCUUGAUAUUUCAAGGUUUCUUCACCUAAUACUGUCAAUAAUCAAUAUCUCUACUUCCUGCUUCUUGACAAUAUUUCUUUGCUAAUUUUAUGUUUGAGCACCUCUUCUGUUUGUAUAACUAAACUGUUUUCUUUCGAACCUACUUUUAUUUCAAAACAUUCCAGGGGAAUGAAUUACUUGCAUGAGCAUAAACCAGAAGCCAUCAUCCACCGUGACCUUGAACCUUCGUGAGUGACUACUGCCUUAUGAGCUUCCUGGAUAGUCUGACUUGUUGAAUAUUGUUUAACUUUAUCUAUUGUGAGUUAACAGAAAUAUACUACGAGAUGAUUCUGGGCAUCUGAAAGUUGCAGACUUUGGUGUUAGCAAGAUGCUGAAGUGGAGGAAAAAAGUUAAAGAAUAUAGGCCAUUGGAAUGUCAAGACGCUGCCUGUAAGUAUACAUAAAUUUUCUUCGAUAGUAGGAUUACAUUAUUUUAAUUGGAAGUUAAAAUUUUUGUUAAUGAUGUUGUAGUGUAUUAGCAUUUGCAUGAACUUACGAUGCUUCUACUUUUUUCCGUGCUGAACCAACCGCUUUUUUCUACGUGUUGCCAUGUGUAAAUCUCAGUAGUUUUGUUUUAUUACUGUGACCUGUCACCUAAAGAGGAGAAAAGGUUUUCUCCGAAGUCUAAUUUUGAAGCUGAAUGCUGUCUCAUUCUUUUCAUUUUCAUUUUUAUAUUUAUUUCUUUCUUGACAAUAAAUUGAUAAAAAUACUAUCAGGCAGGUAUAUGGCUCCCGAGGUAUUCCUUAAUGAAGAGUACGAUACAAAAGUGGAUGUCUUUUCUUUCGCUUUGAUUCUACAAGAGGUAAAACAUCCUAAAGCUUUUCAUGCUGAUAUAGAUCUCAUUCAGGUUAGAUUAACCAAAUUGUAUUGUUGGUCCCUACAGGAGGAUCCCUCCUGUAGGGAUCUUUGCUGGAGAAGUUAAACCCUACAGGAGGGAUAAAUUCCCCGCUCUGUAAAGUCUAUUUGCUAGAGUAGUUGAAUUGUUUCCAUUCUAAAUGCUGUUAAUAUUAUUUUCCUCACCCCUAUGCCUCAAACAUGAAACCUAUUAUUAACCUAGUCUUGUUUGUUAAGAGAUUAGUUAACAUCUUAAACUUUGACCUUCCCCAUUAUUUCUAACCCUAUUGUUGUUUCUCAGAAUAGGUCCGCUGUAAUGUUCUUAAUAUCUUGCAGAUUUUCAUCUUCACAUUGCUUUUAUGGUGGAAGAGUUGUUAAAAGACCUUUUUACUAAUAUUUUUUUUUUUCUCUUUGGUCCAUUUAUGAUCUAGAUCAUUGAAGGGUGCUCUCCGUUUGCCAAUAAAAAGGAUACUGAAGUGCCAAAAGCAUAUGCAGCUAAAGAAAGGCCGGCUUUUAGAGCUCCUAUGAAGCAUUAUUCGCAUGGAUUAAAAGAGUAAGUUUUCCAAUGACUUCAAUGCCCCGUUCCGUAGGUCUUUUAUUGGCUGUAUGGUCCAUCCAUUUCAGCUGGCCUCCUAUACUAUCAACUAGGUCAAGAUUAUUUAUCAUUUUAAGUUACUGGGUGGAAUGUUACUGAUAAAUUAUAACGGCAUAUCUGUACUAAAUGGUGCUUUUGCAUAUAUGUGUAGCUAGCUCCUUGUUUAUAAGUUUAAUUCUUAUCCAUUGCUACUAUUGCUAAUUAUCCAUUCCUGCGUGUGGUACAUAAUAUUGUUCAUUUUGGAAUGACACGGUGUAAUCUCUUAUUUGUGCAGGUUAAUCGAGCAAUGUUGGAGCGAGAAUCCUUCCGACAGACCUCCUUUUAGAACAAUAAUCAAUCUUUUGACUAUAAUUCAAAGUGAAAUUGCUCACAAGAAGCGGUGGAAGGUAUUGUUAACAACAUGAUUUCUUGUUUUACCAGAUUUUCUGGUGGUUAUUCAUUUAUUGUAUAUCCAUUAGUUCGGGCAUACCUUUUAUUCCUGUUAUUAAUAUUAUACUUCUAAUGACAUUUGGCAUGUUUAACUGAACCUUUUUCCUUCUAUUUUUUUUUCUUAACUACCAGGUGAGACCCUUAAAAUGCUUCCACAACCUAGAAGCCAUGUGGAAGAAAGAUCGUUCUAACAGUAACAGCCGAUCUUCACGUUCAUCCAAUUCGAAUUUGUGAAGUUUCCAAUGAUCUGCUUUUUCUGAAGAGUAAAUUCAAAUAGAGUGAAUGAGGAGCGACUUCAGCAUCAAAUAUGUUGCAUAAUCUAUUCUUAAACCUUGGCGUUCGAUGCUUGUUGGUAGGCUUAUGCAGGGCCCUACGACUGUUGGUAGAACAAAAAUCCUGCAAAAAUCUGUCAUUCUAUACUUAUUCGACCAUGUAUACAAUAUGUACCAUGUGAUAUCUUUUCCAAAUUAGGAAAUAAAUAUUGAUUGUGUUAUCGUGUGUACGAAACAUCGAAAACUGUGCCAUUUCAUGUUUUUUUUUUUUUUUCUCGCAAACUGCGAGUGAUGUACUAACAAAAUAAAGUUGAAAGUUCCAUCUCGUCCGUUCACGAUUUUCUUCGUUUGCAUGGUGAUUCAGAAUCUGUUCCAUUCGCCAUGUUGCAAUUUACUGCCUUUUCUGUUUGAGGAACGGUGAAAGCCCUAGGUUGAUCCUCAAACUUUAUUUUGUUAGUAGGGACAUUUGUUAUUCGAUGUAUUCCGACCGACGGAUAAUAGUGCAAUCCACGGUAGUAAACAUAAAGCAAAAUUAGAUUUUAUGACAAUCAGGAAUUAGAGUGUGAUAUACGGUGAAAAUUCAGGAACUCAAUUUCUGAGAUCAAAACACAUGAAGCAAAUUAAAAGGGCUCUCCAUACCUUAUAUUCAGCAUAUGAAUUUUAUGAUUGUUCAGAUACAAACGUAAUAAAAAAAAAAAAAAAAACACUCUCCACUAUGUCUCAAACAAAUAACGCACAUACUUACACUUUAUCUGAUCCACACAAAACACUAAUAAGAAUCACUUCCAAAGCAAAGCAAUAAGCAUGAGAGCUACUAAAAAUAUCCCCACAAUUCAGAGGCUUAUGUAUGACUUAGACCUGAGCUAGACGGCGGAGAUCCAUCGGGUGCGCAUCGGACGGCGACUGCGCGCUGUACGAUCGCUUACCGACGAUUAUGUUCGUGGCUUCGGUAGGGUGGAAUGCGUCCCAGAAGAGGUACUCAUCCCUGUUGGGGCACGGCGCUUGGUAUGGUAGGCAUGUAACUUGGCCAUUGUUCCUUCCCACUCCACAGCAUCCUCUGUUUGUGACCGUUAACCCUGUUAUCAUUAAAAGAAAGAGUUUUUGAGCACCACUGAACCCCUAGAGCCCUGCAAAUUAGUGCGAAAAUGGCUCACCAAAAGAUCCAGCAUCGUUCAAAAUGUCUUGGAAAAUUCCGUAUGCGUUGAUGUACGUGAAAUGCGCGCCGGGUAACGUGUUGAACCCGUCCACAAGCGCGACCAGCUUCUGGUUGAAUAUUUGGAUCGCGUUGUUGAUCCGAUCGACGCAGGUCACGCCGUUCGGGCUCAGCUGAGCCAGCUCGUUCGGGCUGCACCCGACCUGCCCCACUCCGAUCAGCGCCACUUUCCUCGCUCCGUAGUUGUAAAGAGUCUAAUCAAAAUUAUUAUUACUAAUAUUAAUAGCAGUAGAAUUCAACUUGCAAGUACGAAGGCCUCUGUAUCUAGCACCAAAACACCUAAUAAUAUUAAUUAUUAAUAAGAAAAUAUAUAUAUAUAUAUACCGUUAAAUGUUGCGAAUAGCGGUUGAUGAGGUCAUCAGCAAAUUGCUCAGGAGUGUAUUGUCGACCGGUGGAGUAAAACGCAGGCAUGAAGUAGUUGUUGAGGUAGUCGUUGCUCCCCAUUCCCACCGUGAAUAUGCACUUGCUGAGGUAAUUUGCAGCCGAGUCCUCGUCUCCCAGAAUAUUUACGACUUGCUGCACUGCGGCUUGGUAGUUUUGCACUUGGCCCCCGAAACUUAUCCGACCGCCCUGUCGUAGUGGAUUCACAAAAGUUCAGGGAUUUGUUUGCAAAAGUUUUAAACUAGCUCCCGGUUAGCCAGUAACCACUUUUUAUUGCUAAUGGAAAAACUAGCUCUCAAAAUUGUACAUUUGCCGAGAGGAUCGUGGGCGCGUAAUUAACAACAUUGAAACUCAGUAUCUUAUACUCUGAUGUCAUGUAAAAUAUUUUUUUGCUUUUCUUUAAGAGUUUUAGUCACACAUAAAAUUGCAUAUAACAAAAAAAAAAACGUGUACAAUAUAUCAUAAUUGUGUUAUAGAAAUAUGCAUGUAUACAUGAUGGGGCAUAUAUAUGGAAUGUGAAAAAAGUACCAGUUGCUGCCCGGUUUCUUCUCUGAUUCCGGCGGCGGCGGAUGCGAAGUUAACGCCGGUGAGGAGUUGGUCGCCCCUCGCGCCUGCGUACGGCGGGAUGAGAUCGUCGAACCCCAACAGUUGAGCUUCGCAAUUUGGACAAAAAUUUUCCAUCAAUUGGCAUUCUAUUUGGAAUUACAAAUGCAAAUUAACCUAAUCUAACUCCACCCAAAUAUUUUUCUACAAAUUAAUGACAUAAUUUAUAAUCCCAUUUUUAAGUACAUUGAAAAAUUAAAUUUUAUUUGCCCCGGAAUGUUGAAACUACGAAAUAUGAUUAAGUGAAAAAUCGAAGAAAUAUAUAGUAAUAAUAUAUAAGUUAUUUCUAUGUCAAAUUAUUUUCAAUGUUCACAUUUCCUUUGUUACUGACUCUUUUUUUUGAGUAAAGCGAACAAGAGAACGAGACAUAACAUGUGACCUAAUAAAUUGGGGCUAGACCCAAUUUAUGUGUCAACGACUUUGCUCAGAGUGACACUACAAUGCACAACAAUAUAUGUACACUAUCCUUUUGAUAUAAAUAAUAUAUAUAGUUUAAUUUUGUGUUACGUGCACUCAUACUGCAAAUAUUUUAGUUUUUGAACUUUCACGUGUUUUAAUUAUAACAUAAAUUUAGCAAGCGAAUAACUAGUGAUAAGAUUCACUGAGUUGUUUGAUUUGUCAAAAAGUUACUGUUACCAACCACCCAAAAUUUACCCAAGAAGGUAACGAGACAUUCUACGUAUAUAGGAAUGUUCAUUCUUAAAAUGAAUAGGACAUGUAGUUGGAACACUACUACUGUAUUUUUUUUGCAGGUUGUAAACCUGAAAAAAAAAAAAAAGAAAAACGAAAAAAAUGACAUGACCUUAUCGAUCUAUACAUUCGAUUGGUUAGGUGUAGAGAUAUAAUAGAUUGCUUAUUAUUUGGAGGAACAAUUAAAUGUUACUAUAUAUAUAUAUCCCAUACAAUUUUGAGGUGACAAGGAGCUAGCAAAUGAUAUUUUAUUUAUCGAACAUCUCGCGAUUAUUCUUNAAAAAUUAAACUAUUGAUUAUAUAAUGUCGAGAAUUUCAAUCGGCUCGUUUAGAGCUCGAGCUCAGCUCGACUCGAAAUUAGGCUCGCUCGAGCUCGGCUCGAAUUAAUUUCAAGCCGAGCUUGAGCCUAGAUUUAGGCUCGAAAUUAGUUUCAAGCCGAAUUUGAGCUGACAUAAGCUCGCUCGAGCUCGGCUCGUUUCCACCCCUACACUACAAUGCACAACAAUAUAUAUACACUAUCGUUUUGAUAUAAAUAAUAUAUAUAGUUUAAUUCUGUGUUACGUGCACUCAUACUGCAAAUAUUUUAGUUUUUGAACUUUCACGUGUUUUAAUUAUAAUAUAUAAAUUUAGCAAGCGAAUAACUAGUGAUAAGAUUCACUGAGUUGUUUGAUUUGUCAAAAAGUUACUGUUACCAACCACCCAAAAUUUACCCAAGAAGGUAACGAGACAUUCUACGUAUAUAGGAAUGUUCAUUCUUAAAAUGAAUAGGACAUGUAGUUGGAACACUACUACUGUAUUUUUUUUGCAGGUUGUAAACCUGAAAAAAAAAAAAAAGAAAAACGAAAAAAAUGACAUGACCUUAUCGAUCUAUACAUUCGAUUGGUUAGGUGUAGAGAUAUAAUAGAUUGCUUAUUAUUUGGAGGAACAAUUAAAUGUUACUAUAUAUAUAUAUAUAUCCCAUACAAUUUUGAGGUGACAAGGAGCUAGCAAAUGAUAUUUUAUUUAUCGAACAUCUCGCGAUUAUUCUUUGCAGUACUGGCUCUACGUUCUGCAACCUAUCUCGGUGGAGAAAAGCUUUUCUCUCAGAAUUAUUUAGAAAUCUGCGAUUGCAGGCCACGCAGAAGAGGUAUAGUCGAUCGACCAUGCAUGCAAAUGGUUUGCUUCUGCGGUUGCGAGCCGCACAAACUGGGCUUAAAGAUUCGAAAUCAACCAAUGCAUUGGAAAGAAUAUAUCUACAUUAUUUUUCUAAUUAUGAAAGAAAUGGGGGUUUUGGACUUUUUUUUUUGCAUUUUAAAUAACUCUUAAACAAUCAUUGUCGAGGAAGUACUAAUUAACAGGUAUUUUUGAUGAAAGAGUUUAUGUAGAGAGAGAGAGAGAGAGAGAGAGAGAGAGAGAGAGAGAGAGAGAGAGAGAGAAUCAUAGAGAGGGAAUGUCUCAAUUAACCAAGUGCAUGCAUGCAAGCUAUAUGUACGUACGGAGUACCAAAACAUAUAAAGUAAAAAAAGUAAUAUAAGUUAUUGUACGUUUUAUAACGUAUAAGUCCACAUUAUUAGUCGUACACAAAUUCUUAAACAAUGUCACACUUAAUUAACUAGCUAAGGAGAGCUUAUAAAUUGUUCAACAUACAAAAUCCAACGAAAUGCACGUAGCAUGCAUGGAUAGCUGUAGAUGUUAAAUAUAAAAAUAUAUAAACACCGUUCUCUAAUAGCUUAAGAUUUUAAAGUACAACGGUUGUUUCACAUGCUUAUUUAAUUCAAGUUCACGCCAUGUGCCUUGCAAAAAUAAUCUCAAGUCCAAACAUGAGAGGGAGUAUUAAAUAUAAAAAUACAUAAAUACCGUUCUUUAAUAGCUUAAACUUUUAGAAUACAAUAGUUGUUUCACAGUAAAGAGAAUUGGACUUACCAAUAACAUCAACUGUGGUCAAGCCAUUACAGAACCGUCCGGUCGGGCCGUUGGGGAAGUCGAUGCCGUAGGGCGGGUAAUUCGCCCUCGCCAGCGACGCCAUGUUGUUGUUGUUGCCAUUGUCGACAAGUGAGUCCCCGAAAAUGAAGUAGCACGGGACCUCCGGGUCCGACCGGACUGAGCCCAACGACAUCGAGACCAAAGCUAAGAUGAGCACCCACCCAAACCCUAGCCCUCCUCUUAGCUCAAUGUGAGCCAUUUUUCCCUUUUUUGUUACUUACAAGAAGAGUAGUAGUAGUAGUAGUAGUAAGAGUAGUAGUAGCUAGAGAGGUAGUGCAAGGGAAUGAGAGGUGGUGGGGUGUUUUUAUAUAGGGGAGUAGUGUGUAGGUGUUAUGUGAGGGGAAAGGAAUUGGGGUUUUGGUUGGGGUUGUGAGGGUUGGGAUUGGGUUAAGUGUGGGUCCAUGGAAUUUAUUUCCACAAGGGCUUAGUGUGGAGUUAUUGUGACAUGUGGAUGCGUUGGUGGUUAAGAUUGGCCAUAUUUAUUGGAAUAAUAAUAAUAAUUUAAUACUCGACGGUUUCGAUUUCCGAUUAUGAUUUUUUAUCUGCAAUCCAAUCGAACCUGAAUCCGAAAAUCUAGACAGAUUCUUAGAGUUUGUUCGGCGCGAUCAAUUUGGCGACCGCAUCUCAUUAUAUAUGCAUAGUGAGGAUCGAAACCACCAAAUUUGGUGCUUUCACAGUUUAAUCACGAAACUCUCCUUUAAAUGUUAAAAAGUAAAUCUUAUAAAUUUUUACAAUUUUUUUAUUUACUUUAUCCUUUUCAAUUUCAUGUGUAGGCUCUUUAAUUAAUGCACCGCACCCGAAGUGAAGGUGCAACAUGUGCUUAGACACAGCAAGUCCAUUUCGUCGGCUAUAAGUUUACUUCUGAGAAAGUCAACUGGUUCCUUUUUUUCAACAGUAACUAAAUUUUCAUGUACGUACUUGAAUGAAAAUUCUACUGCAUUAAAUGGAUAACUAACUAAGCAGUGCCCAAUUUGACUAUUUUUCCAAUUUUCAACAGCCCCUUCUCUUUAAGAUAGAAUAUUUCUAAAUUACAUCGAUUAGUUUCAUUUCGCUAGCUCCUCAAAUUUUCGAAUUCAAAAGAUUAGCAUACGUAGGUAAAUGAAACAAAUUAAAUUUGCAAUCUUAAAAGACACCAAAAUUAUUAAAUAAUACGAAAUAACCGUUGUUCUUCAAAACACUUAAGCUGCAAGAUCAAAAAUAUCUGACCUUCAGGCUUUUUAAUAGGUUCAUAACAUGGAGAUUCGAAUUCAAAACUUCCUAAUCUGAUACCAUAUUAAAUAGUACAAAAUAAUCAUUAUUUUUUAAAAAUUUAAAUUGGUAAAAAAAUAAUAUUUUUAUAUUUAAAAAAAAAAGAAGCUAUACCUACCAUCAUUGAAUGAGCAAAGAGGAAACAAUUAGGCCAUGCAUGCAGGGGUAGGAAUAGGGGAUUGUGUAGAACAGUGUGUCAGAUACUGAUCAGUGGAUGAUAGGGUCUGAGUUUCUCCCUUGCAGUUAAUGAGGCACAAUGGAAAGUAGGAAUACAUCCUCUCCCCCCUCCCCCACCCACCUCCUACCACAUGGCCUUACUGCCACCUCAAAGAUAGGCCAAACAGACUCUUAUUUAAGUUAUAGUGUAACUUAGAAUCUGUUUAGCCUAUCUUUUACUUUUUAUCUCUUAGUUGCUGUCGACGAUAGUUACAAAAAAUCUGAAGCUUAUAUUGCAGAAAGCCAAAAAAAAUACAUUUCAAGUCUCAAAGAUAAACGUUCUGAUAUUAACGUCUUGUUAUGAAAAUCUUAUUAGUUAACAUCGUACCGUUCUGAACCCAAAAACUAAAAGCUUUGAUUGUUAUCGAGUAAAAGUUUUUUUUUUUUUUUAAGAUAGAUAGCACGCUAUCCGCUUUGUUUAUUUCAUUUGGAAAUAAAUAAACUUAGCUGGAAAUGUAAAUCAACUAGAAUUCGAACUUGGAUCUCGAAUACCAACCACCAAACCUUUUGCCACUUGCUCUAGGGACGGUCGGUGAGUAAAAGUUGAUACAAUCAUAAUAAGAUCGUAUAUAUGUUAUAAAACGAACACCUCCUUUGGUCCCUCUAGGUUCUCGAGACGUCAAAGCUUCAUUAAUUGAUCGUUAUUAUGUAAUUGGACAAGUUACAAAGGUUUAUUUAAAACAACACUAACGAAAAAAAAAAUGGGGGAAAAAAUAGGUGGUGGUUAAUUAUUUAUAGUCGACAAGAAUGUUAAGCAUUUAUUGUGAACUUGGCAUCAAGCGCAAACCAUGCACAUGCAAGGAGAUAUAUAGAUAGGAGAUUACUAAAGUAGGUUAAUCUUAGUUGUUCAUAUUUAUGUUGCAUUAACACUUCUAUAAUUGUUUGCCACACUUACAGAAUUUUUUUGCUGUUCGAAAUUCAAUGCGAGUAGUCGACUGUGUAUGCAAAGACUUCAAAAACUUCAUACAAUUCAGUGUACAGUGUUAAAUUAAUUGAGCAUAUAACAAUCAUGCGUCUCAUUAACAUCAUAACAAAGAAAACGAAAAAAAACAAGUAGUUACAAAAACCAUUUUUACCGCAUAACUAGAGUUCAAAGUUAUCAUCAUAUAUAUAUAUAUAUACAUAGUGAGGCUAUUAUGCUAUCGGAAGCACAGAGCCUUCCGUGCUUUCAGCUCGUUUUCGAUGUUGUGACUUUCGAAUUGUCGAUCGGCUCCGUUAAACUUAAUCUAGAGUAUUUGGAGUACCUAGAAAAUAAAUUUUAUUAUUUUUCGAUAUCAUUUGCCUAGUGAUCGAAUGGGCUCAAAAUCAACAAAUUUCAAUGGCCGUAGUGAGCCGUUUGUAAGUUUAACGGUGUAGAAAUAUCCAAAUCAUGUGAAAUUUUGAUAGAAAAUUUUUUAUACUAUAUAAAACAAGAUCAAUAUCUUUGAUUUAAAAUUUUAAUGUCAUAUUAUUAUAUUUUGUAAGAUUUUUAUUUUCAGCCGUUGAUUUUGAGCCCCUUGUUCUAGGCAAAUGUAUUGUAAAAAUCAUAAAAUUAUUUUCUAAUACUUCAAUAUACUCUAGACAUCAGUUUGAAGAGCCGAAGCCGAUCGACGAUUCGAAAGUCCAACAUUCGAAAACGAGCUAGAAGCACGGAACGCCUUCCGUGCUUCCGAUUGAGCAAUAGUAGACCUCACUCUCUCUCUCUCUCUCUCC
rnacentral:lncRNA from 1 species